rnacentral:rRNA from 1 species
CAAGCUAGUAAGGGCGUGUGGGGGAUGUCUUGGCGCCGGGAGGCUCAAGGGCGCGACAGGCGGCGAAACGCCCGGGGGAGCCGUCAAGUGGGCUCUGAUCCCGGGGUACCCGAGCCAACGGGGGGAACUGAAACAUCUCAUUACCCCCAGGAAGAGAAAGAAACCUCGAUUCCGUCAGUAGCGGCGAGCGAACGCGGACGAGCCCAAACCGUGGGGGUAACCCCACGGGGUUGUAGGACCACCAGUAGGACCUGGACGGGGAGCGGAACGGCGUGGAACCGCCGGCGACACAGGGUGAAAGCCCCGUACGCGAAUCCUGAACAGGCCGGGUGGGAUCCUGAGUACGACCCAACACGUGGAAGUGGGUCCGAAUCCGCGGGGACCAUCCCGCAAGGCUAAAUACUCCCCGGCGACCGAUAGCGUAGAGUAGCGCGAGCGAACGAUGGGAAGAACCCCGAGAGGGGAGGACAGUGAACCUGAAACCACACGCCUACAAGCGGUAGGAGGGCUACGCGGGCAACCGCAUGCCUGACUGCGUGCCUUUUGCAUAAUGAUCCGGCGACUUGCCGUCGGCGGCAUGGUUAAGGGCCUUUGGCCCGCAGCCGCAGGGAAACCGAGUCCCAACGGGGCGUUGGGUCGUCGGCGGCAGACGCGAAACCACGUGACCGACGCCCGGCCAGGACGAAGGUGGGGUAACACCCACUGGACGACCGAACUCACGAGUGUUGAAAAACUCGGGGAUGAGCCGGGCGGGGGAGUGAAAGUCUAAUCAAACGUGGAGAUAGCUCGUUCUCUCCGAAAUAACUUUAGGGUUAGCGUCGGGCUAGUUGGUAGUGGGGGUAGAGCGACUGAUUCCGAACGGGGGCCUACCCGGCUACCCGUCGGAGCCAAACUCCGAAUACCACUAUACAAGGCCCGGCAGCUAGGCUCUGGGGGACAAUCUCCAGGGCCGAGAGGGGAACAGCCCGGACCGCCCGCUAAGGCCCCCGAAUGACGCUCAGUGCGAAAGGAGGUCGAACCCCGAGGACAGCCGGGAUGUUGGCUUAGAAGCAGCCACCAUUUAAAAAGUGCGUAAUAGCUUACCGGUCGAGGGGUUCCGCGCCGAUAAUGAACGGGACUCAAGCGUCAUGCCGAAGCGGCGGGUGUGUAGUUUACUACACGCGGUAGGAGAGCGUUGCACGUGCGGCGAAGCGAUACGGACAACGGGUCGUGGAGCGCGUGCAAGUGAUUAUGCCGGAACGAGUAGACGAUAAGACGGGUGAGAAUCCCGUCCGCCGUAAACCUAAGGUUUCCUGGGGAAGGUAAAUCCGCCCAGGGUCAGCCGGUGCCUAACCCGAGGCCGAGAGGCGUAGGGGACGGGGAGCAGGUUAAUAUUCCUGCGCUCCCGUGCGGUUUAACCCGGUGGGGAAAGGGUGCAGGCUUAUCAGAUUGCCUCAGGGCGAUUAAGACCCCGAUAUCCCGGACCCCGCCGGCAAGAAGUGCCGCGCGGAAACCGUACCAAAACCGACACAGGUGGGUGGGAUGAGUAUUCCAAGGCGCUCGAGAGAACUCUCGUGAAGGAACUCUGCAAAUUGGCCCCGUAACUUCGGGAUAAGGGGCGCUCACCUCCGGGUGAGCCGCAGCGAAAAGGGUCUAGCGACUGUUUACUAAAAACACAGGUCUGUGCGAAGGCGUGAGCCGCGGUAUACAGACUGACGCCUGCCCGGUGCCGGUAAGUUAAGGGAGGCGGUUAGCCCGCAAGGGCGAAGCUGGCGACCGAAGCUCCGGUAAACGGCGGCCGUAACUAUGACGGUCCUAAGGUAGCGAAGUUCCUUGUCGGGUAAGUUCCGACCUGCAUGAAUGGCGUAACGACUGGACCACUGUCUCCACGAGAGACUCGGUGAAACUGUAGUUGUCGUGAAGAUGCGACAUACCCGCAGCUAGACGGAAAGACCCCGUGAACCUUAACUGCAGCUUGGUAUUGGGUUUAGGCCCGGCAUGCGUAGCGUAGGUGGGAGGCCGUGAACCCCGCUUCUCGGAGCGGGGGGAGCCGUCGAUGAAACACCACCCUUGCCGUGCUUGAAUUCUAACCCGGUCCGGUGAACCCCGGCCGGGGACCGUGCUAAGUGGGCAGUUUGAUUGGGGCGAUCUCCUCCCAAACGGUAACGGAGGAGCCCAACGGUCCCCUCAGCCCGGUCGGCAAUCGGGCCUCGAGCGCAAACGCAGAAGGGGGCUUGACUGCGAGCCCGAUGGGGCGAGCAGGUGCGAAAGCAGGGGUUAGUGAUCCGGCGGUCCCGGAUGGAAGGGCCGUCGCUCAACAGAUAAAAGGUACUCCGGGGAUAACAGGCUUAUCUCCUCUGAGCGUUCAUAGCGGCGAGGAGGUUUGGCACCUCGAUGUCGGCUCAUCACGUCCUGGGGGUGGAGAAGCUCCCAAGGGUUCGGCUGUUCGCCGAUGAAAGUGGUACGUGAGCUGGGUUUAGACCGUCGUGAGACAGGUCGGUCCCUAUCUGCUGCGGGCGGACGAGACUCGCGGGGCUUCCUCCCUAGUACGAGAGGACUGGGAGGGACGCACCCCUGGUGUGCCGGUUAUCGCGCUAGCGGUACCGCCGGGUAGCCACGUGCGGAACGGAUAAACGCUGAAGGCAUAUAAGCGUGAAACUCCCCCCAAGAUCAGGUCUCGGUUCGUAAGAUGAAGGCUCCCGGGAGACGACCGGGUCGAUAGGCCGGACGUGCAAGCGUGGCGACACGCUCAGCCGACCGGUACUAACAGCCG